UACGUAGGGGGCAAGCGUUGUCCGGAAUCAUUGGGCGUAAAGCGCGCGUAGGCGGCCCGGUAAGUCCGCUGUGAAAGUCCAGGGCUCAACCCUGGGAUGGCGGUGGAUACUGUCGGGCUCGAGUCCGGAAGAGGCGAGUGGAAUUCCUGGUGUAGCGGUGAAAUGCGCAGAUAUCAGGAGGAACACCGAUGGCGAAGGCAGCUCGCUGGGACGUGACUGACGCUGAGACGCGAAAGCGAGGGGAGCAAACAGG
rnacentral:rRNA from 1 species